rnacentral:lncRNA from 1 species
CUCCUCCAGAUUUAAAUCUUUUCCUACCUUAAAGAAGGCUUUAAAAAUUAUUAAGGAGCAUUCCCAUGAUGGUUACUAGAAAUGAAAUUUCCCAAACAAAGCUAGUAAUCAUCUUCAAGAGUUCAGUCAGAUUGAGAGUAAAAGGCCUUGGCAGCAUUUGCCAUUCAGUCCCAGGUUACUGUUUAUGUAUUUUUAUUUAGUUUUGAUAACAGUUACACUAGUUCGAACUGUGGAGAUUCAUCAAAUGCAGGCCAAGAUGAAAUUCAAAUAUUUUUCUUUGGUUUUACUAAACUUUUUCAGUCUUUGUUUAUAAAAAUGAAUCAAAAUGAUGGUGUCUGGCUAAAAGCACAGCCUUACUUAUGACAAGUGACCAGUGCAGGUCCUGCAACAGUCGUAAUUCUUCAUAAUAAUAAGGUUACUGAUUUAAUCAAAGUUUAUGCACCCUUUGGCUAGGCAGAUGGUUUGUAACACUUUCACAGGCAAUUAGGGGAAGAUUUUAAUUCCUUUCCGAGUGACUUAAACCCAGAAUGGGCAUCUUGUAAUAAACUGAAGAGAGAAAACACAUCUUUAAAAGCUGUAUUUGAAAAUUUCUGGUCAAGCACUUAAAAUUUAAAACAUGGAGCUGAGGCUGUGUGGAAGGCUCGGUUCUGUCCAUCUUGAAGACAUGCUAUUGUAGUCAUAUUGUACAAGGAUCCCUACAGGACUCUGCCUUGAUUCAGGGCAGAUGAUGUUUGUGAAUGAAAACUGUCUGAUGUUGUUUUAAUCUUCAUCAUUCAACACCAGCUUGUGUUGAGUGCUCGAUUGUAUGCCUACUACACUUACUCAUUUAUUUUCCUCUGUAAACCACUAGUCACAGAAGGAACAAGCUAUUUGUGUGUAGCGUUGUUACAGCAUUUCUUUUAAUGGUUAGAUUUUGCAGGUUUCAAGCCCUGAACACUCACAGCAUGCUUGAGCUGAAGGACCAUCAGCUUACAAAGCAAAGAGUAAAGGCUCUUGUCCUGAAUGAACACGCUACUUAGAAAAAUUAAAAGCUUAAUGAAGUCAUCCCUUUCACAAGCCCUGGAGGACAAAAAUAGAGCAUAGCUAAGCACAUAGUAAUAGCUGAGAGGUGGGGUUGAGUCAGCCGUCUGAGAGAACUUGGGUCUUUCCCUUUCCUGUACUACUUCCUGGGUGCAUGAGGCAUAAGUUCUUGAGUUGUCGUGGAUAAACAGUGUUACAGCCCCUGUCAGGGCAACAGCCAAGUUUCAAAUGAACACAUCUGAGUUCCAGGUUUUCCUGUAGUUUAUCUUUGCAUUAGGAAUUGUAGGUCCAUAGAGGAAAAGAGGGUCAUGCGGCAAAAUGUGUGGUUGGUGCUAGGUCUUAGAGGCAGGCCAGGCCCAUUUGUGUUACUCCAGUUUUGCAUUAGGAGUAAAGUCUAAAAAAUGCAUAAAUCUCCAAGUUCACUAUAGCAGUGAUGGCGCAUCCCACCGGCGUGCUGUCUCUAAGCAGAGCUGUGAUUCAGACCUCGCCCUGCCAGAUACGGCUGUUCUCUGUUGACAUCUGUAGGAGCUGAGAAUGAAUAACACCUUGCAAGAGCAAGCUUUCAAAGAGUAAAUAUACAGCUGUGAUGAUGUAACUUCAGGCCAUGUUUGGUCACAAACAUUUCAUUCUGCUUUCUGAAGUCCCACGCUCUUUUCCUGAAAACAUUUAUUCUUCCUCCCUCUAAAGGAAAAAAUAUCUUGGAUUUGUGUUUAUGUUGUUGCUAUGACAUUCAGUUAAACUGUAUGCAGAUGCAGGUUCU